UGAACUCUCCCAAGUACUUAACUCAGUGCUCUGCAUGUAGUAAGUGGUCAGUAAAUAUGAUUAAUUGAUAGAGGGUAAAGAGACAAUAAUAUAAAUAAAUGGUUUAUCAUAUAUAUUUUAUAGAUGUGUACCUAAGUGCUGUGCAGCUGAGGGUGGGGCUUGUGACUGGCUGACCAAUGGCUAGAAAAAUCACAGGUGUUUUCACUGCAGAAAAGAUGUUUAGGGCCUUUAGACAGCUAAACAGAAAUUCUUAAACGGGUCAACAACUUUCUCUAGAGACAGGAGGUGGG
rnacentral:lncRNA from 1 species